UACGUAGGGCGCAAGCGUUGUCCGGAAUUAUUGGGCGUAAAGAGCUCGUAGGCGGUUUGUCGCGUCGGAUGUGAAAGCCCGGGGCUUAACUCCGGGUCUGCAUUCGAUACGGGCAGACUAGAGUGUGGUAGGGGAGAUCGGAAUUCCUGGUGUAGCGGUGAAAUGCGACAGAUAUCAGGAGGAACACCGGUGGCGAAGGCGGGUCUCUGGGCCGAUACUGACGCUGAGGAGCGAAAGCGUGGGGAGCAAACAGG
rnacentral:rRNA from 1 species